GACGAACGCUGGCGGCGUGCUUAACACAUGCAAGUCGAACGCUGAAGCACCAUCUUGCUGGUGUGGAUGAGGUGCGAACGGGUGAGUAAUACUUGAGUAACCUGCCCUUGACUCUGGGAUAAGCCCAGGAAACUGGGUCUAAUACUGGAUACUACAUAUCACCUCAUGGUGGUCUGUGGAUAGGUUUUACUGGUCUUGGAUUGGGUGACGGCCUAUCAGGUUGUUGGUGAGGUAAUGGCUAACCAAGGCGACGACGAGUAGCCGGCGUGAGAGGGUGAGCAGGCACAGUGAGACUGGGACAGGGCCAAGGCGCCGACGGGUGGCAGAAGUGGGGGAGAGUGAAAAAGGAGCGAAAGCCUGAUGCAGCGACGGCACGGGAGGGAGGAUGAUGUUGGGGUUGUAGUCGUAUUGCAGCAUGGAAGGAGACAAAAGUGACGGUACCGGGAGAAGAAGCGCCGGCUAACUACGUG
rnacentral:rRNA from 1 species